AACGAACGCUGGCGGCAUGCCUAACACAUGCAAGUCGAACGAGACCUUCGGGUCUAGUGGCGCACGGGUGCGUAACGCGUGGGAACCUGCCUUUAGGUUCGGAAUAACUCAGAGAAAUUUGAGCUAAUACCGGAUAAUGUCUUCGGACCAAAGAUUUAUCGCCUUUAGAUGGGCCCGCGUUGGAUUAGCUAGUUGGUGGGGUAAAGCCUACCAAGGCGACGAUCCAUAGCUGGUCUGAGAGGAUGAUCAGCCACACUGGGACUGAGACACGGCCCAGACUCCUACGGGAGGCAGCAGUGGGGAAUAUUGGACAAUGGGCGAAAGCCUGAUCCAGCAAUGCCGCGUGAGUGAUGAAGGCCUUAGGGUUGUAAAGCUCUUUUACCCGAGAUGAUAAUGACAGUAUCGGGAGAAUAAGCUCCGGCUAACUCCGUGCCAGCAGCCGCGGUAAAGUGACUA
rnacentral:rRNA from 1 species